UCUCCAUACCCUGCACCUCUAAGUAGUUCAUCAUGUGUGUGUCAUUGUGAGCAUGAUUUGCCUACAGAUGGUGGUUUGCAUGAGUGCUGGGCGCCUCAGUUCCCUCGGAGUGUUUAUACUGCAGCCUCAGUAGUGCACAUGUCUGACUUCAGACUGUCACAUCUGAAUGGACAACAAGAUGGCUUUAGCUCUCAUCCUCAUCUGGACACUCACUCUCUACUGCCAAGGAUGUGAAGGCCAGAUUACUGUGACUCAGACUCCAGCAGUGAAAGCUGUUCUUCCAGGACAAUCGGUAUCAAUCAGCUGUAGAACCAGCAGUGCUGUCACUGUUGGCUAUUGUUACCAUGGAGGAGGUUCAGGCCAUCAAUGUCUGCACUGGUACAAGCAGCCGUCUGGAGGAGCUCCCAAACUCCUGAUAGAAGCUGCUAAAUAUGCCCACACUGGGACUCCAUCCAGAUUCAGUGGCAGUGGAUCUGGCAGCGACUUCACUCUGACCAUCAGUGAUGUCCAGGCUGAGGAUGCAGGAGUUUACUACUGUCAGAGUCUACACUAUCCCAACGUCCAUCCUCCACACUGCUGUCCUGGGAUCAGCACUGCCCCCUUUGGCUCCUCUUGGUUGUGUCCACCCUACUCCACCUGCCCUCUCUUCCAGCAGACUUCCUGCGUUGAGCUCCAGCAACAGCAGUGCAGUCAUGUGGAGCCUGACUGA